AAUGACAUAAUGUGGACAUGAAAUCGUGGGGGAGUUCAUCAAACAAGAUUUAUCAGACACCUUUCAAUCAAGCACAAUCCUAAUUACAAAUUAUGCGUCCAAGUUUGAGGAUGGUUCAAAAUAUCACCUUGACCUCGAGACAAAGUCCGAAGAUUCAACUGCCGAACAUUUUCAACUAGGGAAUGGAGAUUGGAGCUGCAGAAUUAUUUUUUAAACAGUGAAGGUACUAAAAUUGAAGUAUUGACUGCAGAAGAUACAGCGGAAUUUUGUGAUACGACAGCGAAAAAUGAACCUCUUGGGCCUUGGCGGUCAAACUCAAGCAUGGCAAUGUAAUGGAAAUCCAACCAGUCAACCCAGCUCAUCUCUUUCUGAUGGACAAUCUGUCCCUGAUCCCCUGCGAAGACCAACCUUCAUUAGAAAUUAGAAACGAAACGUGUUUACUUAUACUGGAGAAAAUUACUACGACAACAAUUCGAAUGAAAUCUCAGC